rnacentral:rRNA from 1 species
GACGGAGGGUGCAAGCGUUGUUCGGAUUGACUGGGCGUAAAGGGCGUGUAGGCGGUUCGUUAAGUCGGGUGUGAAAGCCCGGGGCUCAGCUCCGGAAGUGCGCCCGAAACUGGCGGGCUGGAGCGCGGUAGAGGAGGGUGGAAUUCCUGGUGUAGCGGUGAAAUGCGUAGAUAUCAGGAGGAGCACCGGCGGCGAAGGCGGCCCUCUGGACGGAUACUGACGCUGAGACGCGACAGCGUGGGGAGCAAACAGG